rfam:Cucumis melo, WGS project CAJI01000000 data, contig: 01886
CUCAUGGAGAGUUCGAUUCUGGCUCAUUAUGAACGCUGGUGGCAUGCUUAACACAUGCAAGUCGGACAAGAAGUGGUGUUUCCAUGGGCGAACAGGUGAGUAACGCAUAAGAACCUACCCUUAGGAGGGGAAUAACAACUAGAAACGACUACUAAUAUCCCAUACACUGAGGAGAAAAAGGAGGAAUCCACCCGAGGAGGGGCUCGCGUUUGAUUAGCUAGUUGGUGAGGCAAUAGAUUACCAAGAUGAUCAAUAGUUAGUCCGAAAGGAUGAUCAGCCACACUGGGACUGAGACACGACCCAGACUCCUACGGUGGCAGCAGUAGGGAAUUUUCCUUAAUGAGCAAAAUCUUGAUGGAGCAAUGCUGCAUGGAGGUAGAAGGCCUGCGGGUUGUGAACUUCUUUUCUCGGAGAAGAAGCAAUGACGAUAUCUAAGGAAUAAGUAUCGACUAACUUUGUGCUAGCAGCUGCUGUAAUACAGAGGAUGCAAGUGUUAUCUGGAAUGAUUGAGCACAAAGUAUCUGUAGGUGGCUUUUUAAGUCCGCCGUUAAAUCCCAGGACUCAACCCUGGACAGGCGAUGGAAACUACUAAGCUGGAGUAUGGUAGGGGCAGAGGGAAUUUUCGGUGGAGCAAUGAAAUGUAUAGAGAUCGAAAAGAACACCAACGACGAAAGCACUCUGCUGGGUUGACACUGACACUGAGAGACGAAAGCUAGGGGAGCAAAUGGGAUUAGAUACCCUAGUAGUCCUAGUCGUAAAUGAUGGAUACUAGGUGCUGUGCAUAUCAACCCAUGCAGUGCUGUAGCUAACGCGUUAAGUAUCCCGCAUGGGGAGUAUGUUCGCAAGAAUGAAACUCAAAGGAAUUGAUGGGGGCCUGCACAAGCGGUGGAGCAUGUGGUUUAAUCCAAUGCAAAGCGAAGAACCUUAUUAGGGCUUGACAUACCGCGAAUCCUUUUGAAAGUGAGGGGUGCCUUUGAGAACACGGACACAGAUGGUGCAUGGUUGUCGUAGCUCGUGCCGUAAGGUGUUGGGUUAAGUCCUACAAUGAGCGCAACCCUCGUGUUUAGUUGCUAAUCGUUGAGGUUGGAAACCUGAGCAGACUGUCGGUGAUAAGUCGAAGGAAGGUGAGGAUGACGUCAAGUCAUCAUGACCUUUAUGCCUUGGGCGACAUACGUGCUAUAAUGGCUGGGACAAAGGGUUGUUAUCUCGCAAGGGUGAGCUAACUACAAAAACCCGUCCUUAGUUCGGAUUGUAGGCUACAACUCGCAUGCAUGAAUCUAGAAUCGCUAGUAAUCUCCGGUCAGCCAUACGAUGGUGAAUUCGUUCCAAGCCUUGUAAACACCCACCCGUCACACUAUGAGAGCUGGUCGUGCUCGAAGUCAUUACCUUAACCUCAAGGAAGGGGAUACCGAAGGCAAAGCUAGUGACUGAAGUGAAGUUGUAACAAGUUAGCCGUACUGGAAGGUGCAGCUGGAUCACCUCAUUU